ensembl:lncRNA
UGAGUCCAGAUUCUCUGAUUUGAAGGACCAUACUCUUUGGACAGCUGCACCUUGCCUCUUUAUAGAUUAUUCUCUUAUUAGAAUUUUUAUUUUCUUUCCACGUGUCAGAGGUUGUACAGUUCUAACCAAGACUUCAGAUAUUCAAGAGCCAUCAAAGAAAAUAGGAGAGAGCGGAAAUGAAGAAUAUAGAAGGCUGAAGAAGGUCACAGCUUUAUACUGCAACUGAAGGGAAGCCCAGGUCGCCCAGGAGGAGAUACUGAGAAUAACUUCUGCUGACUCCAGGCACAAACAGUUCCUGACAGCACUGGACACACAAUCACUCCCCAGUCAACUGACCGCACUUGCUAAACUGUAACUGAUAGAAAUAACCUUGACAAAAAACAGGCCUUCUAAACUCCCCU